rnacentral:rRNA from 1 species
AUUGAACGCUGGCGGCAUGCCUUACACAUGCAAGUCGAACGGCAGCGGACCUUCGGGUGCCGGCGAGUGGCGAACGGGUGAGUAAUAUAUCGGAACGUACCUUUCAGUGGGGGAUAACGUAGCGAAAGUUACGCUAAUACCGCAUAUUCUGUGAGCAGGAAAGCAGGGGAUCGCAAGACCUUGCGCUGAUUGAGCGGCCGAUAUCAGAUUAGCUAGUUGGUGAGGUAAAGGCUCACCAAGGCGACGAUCUGUAGCGGGUCUGAGAGGAUGAUCCGCCACACUGGAACUGAGGCACGGUCCAGACUCCUACGGGAGGCAGCAGUGGGGAAUUUUGGACAAUGGGCGCAAGCCUGAUCCAGCCAUGCCGCGUGAGUGAAGAAGGCCU